CUGGGAUAACUCCGGGAAACCGGGGCUAAUACCGGAUAACAUUUUGAACCGCAUGGUUCGAAAUUGAAAGGCGGCUUCGGCUGUCACUUAUGGAUGGACCCGCGUCGCAUUAGCUAGUUGGUGAGGUAACGGCUCACCAAGGCAACGAUGCGUAGCCGACCUGAGAGGGUGAUCGGCCACACUGGGACUGAGACACGGCCCAGACUCCUACGGGAGGCAGCAGUAGGGAAUCUUCCGCAAUGGACGAAUUUAGUCUGACGGAGUCAACGGGCACGCGUGAGUGAUGAAGGCUUUCGGGUCGUAAAACUCUGUUGUUAGGGAAGAACAAGUGCUAGUUGAAUAAGCUGGCACCUUGACGGUACCUAACCAGAAAGCCACGGCUAACUACGUGCCAGCAGCCGCGGUAAUACGUAGGUGGCAAGCGUUAUCCGGAAUUAUUGGGCGUAAAGCGCGCGCAGGUGGUUUCUUAAGUCUGAUGUGAUUGACGCCCACGGCUCAACCGUGGAGGGUCAUUGGAAACUGGGAGACUUGAGUGCAGAAGAGGAAAGUGGAAUUCCAUGUGUAGCGGUGAAAUGCGUAGAGAUAUGGAGCAACACCAGUGGCGAAGGCGACUUUCUGGUCUGUAACUGACACUGAGGCGCGAAAGCGUGGGGAGCCAACAGGAUUAGAUACCCUGGUAGUUCACGCCGUAAACGAUGAGUGCUAAGUGUUAGAGGGUUUCCGCCCUUUAGUGCUGAAGUUAACGCAUUAAGCAMUCCGCCUGGGGAGUACGGCCGCAAGGCUGAAACUCAAAGGAAUUGACGGGGGCCCGCACAAGCGGUGGAGCAUGUGGUUUAAUUCGAAGCAACGCGAAGAACCUUACCAGGUCUUGACAUCCUUUGACAACCCUAGAGAUAGGGCUUCUCCUUCGGGAGCAGAGUGACAGGUGGUGCAUGGUUGUUGUCAGCUCGUGUCGUGAGAUGUUGGGUUAAGUCCCGCAACGAGCGCAACCCUUGAUUUUAGUUGCCAUCAUUAAGUUGGGCACUUCUAAGGUGACUGCCGGUGACAAACCGGAGGAAGGUGGGGAUGACGUCAAAUCAUCAUGCCCCUUAUGACCUGGGCUACCCACGUGCUACAAUGGACGGUACAAAGAGCUGCAAGACCGCGAGGGGGAGCUAAUUUCAUAAAACCGUUUUCAGUU
rnacentral:rRNA from 1 species